GUCCUAAAAUCUGGGCUAGUAGAUUUGAACACAUUGAUACAGGAGAAUUUGCAGUGCUAUAUCAGAGUUGUGCUGACAGCAAAUACAUACAUGUCGGUAGGAAUGUGGCUAUACUAGGAUAAUUUCUUGACUUGGGAUGUUCCUUGUAGUGAUAUUUGUCUGCAUAUCUGGAUUGUCAAUGUGUGUAUCCUCUCUUUUGAAAACAGAGAUUCCAAUUUCAGAUGACAAUUUGCAAAUUUCAGUUGGAUACAGGAUUACAUUCUUUGAUUCAGCAUGUCAAUG
rnacentral:misc_RNA from 1 species